rnacentral:lncRNA from 1 species
AUUACAGCUCCCGUCUCCAUGCACAAAGGUUGUUCUCGUGGUCCUAAAGGAAAGCAGAGAGAAUCAAGGAAUCUCCUGUAACGUUUCCCCCAGUAAUUGGGAUUUCCUUUGCAGGUGAUGUUACUGGGUGUCAAGUCAUGGCCCUGCUCUGGUGGCAGCACGUGAGGUGUGAGCCUCCAACUGCCUCUGGUUGCAGUGCAGGGAGCGUUUUCAGCACUGUGGUUAUCAGCACUUCUGUCAGAAGUUGAAGUUCUCCAGCUUGGGCGCUAAAAUAAAUCAGCAAGCCCACUUUGAUAAAAGAAAGGGUCGCUGCCUGUCGGUUCACCUUGGUGAAGAAACAGACUUGGCGUGGAGCAGGGAUGCAGUGCAAUGGCUGUGCUGUGGCCAAGCAUCUUUGUUCAAGACCCUCUCCACCAACAAAACCAUCCCUUUGGUUCUAAUGAAAUCCUGGGACCCAGCACUUGAUAGGAAUUCUUCCCCUUUGUGUUGGGACGAAGGCAGUUAAUGAUGGUUUUGUACUUGGCUGGGGAAUGGCGAUAAGGAGAGAACAAACACUGCAUCCCUUGGAGAGGCAGCACGUACGUAUCCUGGAUCUCUGUCUUGGCUUUGAUCUGAUCUGAGGAACGAGAAGGAGAUGACUUAAAUGAAAUGAAGGGGUAAAAGCAGAUUUCUGGAAGGAGAUCCCAGGUGCAUCACCUUCAGGGAUGUCAGGAAGGCUCCCCUGUAAGCUGCCCUGGGGGCUGCAGGGCUCAGACCUGCAGAUGCUGAGUCUCCAUGAGUGGAGUUACACUGCUUGAUUACAUGCUUACCUUUCAGCAGCUGAUUAAAAGGUUUGAUUGCUAAAUUUGAACUCCAAUUAGUUUAGUGGGGGCACCAAAACUAAUGACAUUUACACGAAUUAGCUUUGAUAUCAGAAUCCAAGGAUGACAUAGAAUCUUCACUAUGUCUGUAAUAAGAAAUUCUAUUCUAGACUCUGUAGAAACUCAGUUUCUUAUGUACUGCUGGUUAAAAAAAUAAUUUUCAUUGCCUUUACACAUUAAAUCUCUCACACAUUUGCUGAUAUUGCUCUGCAUGUUAGUGGCUUUUUGAAAGAGUUUUAAAUGAAUGUUC